UCACCAUCCAGAGCGGCCGAGAGACCUGGCUCGACGACGCCGCAGCAACCCGCACGGACGGCCCCCGCGCCCUCCGCCCCGGUGCUACCGCCAGGACCGAUGGAAA
rnacentral:ncRNA from 2 species